rnacentral:lncRNA from 1 species
CAAAAUGAUGAUAAUCUUGAGUUGCUAUAGGACAAUACCGAAGGUCUCGAUUUGGCUCAUGGGUUUGAAGAUGAAGAAAAUAUUCCAGCUCAGCCACCUUAUCCACAAACAUCAGCGUGCAGUCUUUCCUCUCCUACGGGUGAUGGUGGCGAUAGGGGAAACUCUAUUACAAUAAAAGUGGAAGGCAACAAUAAACGGGUCCACAUGGCAGGAAUCACUUAUACACCAAUAGUUCGUCGAUUUGAAGUCAUCCCGCUCAACCGGAAGGACAGGCUCAGGAAGAUCCUUUUGAAUUUAAAAAAAAUAAUA